GACGAACGCUGGCGGCGUGCUUAACACAUGCAAGUCGAACGGAAAGGCCCUGCCUUUGUGGGGUGCUCGAAUGGCGAACGGGUGAGUAACACGUGAGUAACCUGCCCUUGACUUUGGGAUAACUUCAGGAAACUGGGGCUAAUACCGGAUAGGAGCUCCUGCUGCAUGGUGGGGGUUGGAAAGUUUCGGCGGUUGGGGAUGGACUCGCGGCUUAUCAGCUUGUUGGUGGGGUAGUGGCUUACCAAGGCUUUGACGGGUAGCCGGCCUGAGAGGGUGACCGGCCACAUUGGGACUGAGAUACGGCCCAGACUCCUACGGGAGGCAGCAGUGGGGAAUAUUGCACAAUGGGCGGAAGCCUGAUGCAGCAACGCCGCGUGCGGGAUGACGGCCUUCGGGUUGUAAACCGCUUUCGCCUGUGACGAAGCGUGAGUGACGGUAAUGGGUAAAGAAGCACCGGCUAACUACGUG
rnacentral:rRNA from 1 species